GGGUUGUGAGGUUAAGCGACUAAGCGUACACGGUGGAUGCCCUGGCAGUCAGAGGCGAUGAAGGGCGUGCUAAUCUGCGAUAAGCGCCGGUAAGGUGAUAUGAACCGUUAUAACCGGCGAUACCCGAAUGGGGAAACCCAGUGUGACUCGUCACACUAUCAUUAACUGAAUCCAUAGGUUAAUGAGGCGAACCGGGGGAACUGAAACAUCUAAGUACCCCGAGGAAAAGAAAUCAACCGAGAUUCCCCCAGUAGCGGCGAGCGAACGGGGAGGAGCCCAGAGCCUGAAUCAGCAUGUGUGUUAGUGGAAGCGUCUGGAAAGGCGCGCGAUACAGGGUGACAGCCCCGUACACAAAAGCGCAUGUGCUGUGAGCUCGAUGAGUAGGGCGGGACACGUGGUAUCCUGUCUGAAUAUGGGGGGACCAUCCUCCAAGGCUAAAUACUCCUGACUGACCGAUAGUGAACCAGUACCGUGAGGGAAAGGCGAAAAGAACCCCGGCGAGGGGAGUGAAAAAGAACCUGAAACCGUGUACGUACAAGCAGUGGGAGCACCCUUUGGGGUGUGACUGCGUACCUUUUGUAUAAUGGGUCAGCGACUUAUAUUCUGUAGCAAGGUUAACCGAAUAGGGGAGCCGGAGGGAAACCGAGUCUUAACCGGGCGUUAAGUUGCAGGGUAUAGACCCGAAACCCGGUGAUCUAGCCAUGGGCAGGUUGAAGGUUGGGUAACACUAACUGGAGGACCGAACCGACUAAUGUUGAAAAAUUAGCGGAUGACCUGUGGCUGGGGGUGAAAGGCCAAUCAAACCGGGAGAUAGCUGGUUCUCCCCGAAAGCUAUUUAGGUAGCGCCUCGUGAAUUCAUCUCCGGGGGUAGAGCACUGUUUCGGCUAGGGGGCCAUCCCGGCUUACCAACCCGAUGCAAACUGCGAAUACCGGAGAAUGUUAUCACGGGAGACACACGGCGGGUGCUAACGUCCGUCGUGAAGAGGGAAACAACCCAGACCGCCAGCUAAGGUCCCAAAGUCAUGGUUAAGUGGGAAACGAUGUGGGAAGGCCCAGACAGCCAGGAUGUUGGCUUAGAAGCAGCCAUCAUUUAAAGAAAGCGUAAUAGCUCACUGGUCGAGUCGGCCUGCGCGGAAGAUGUAACGGGGCUAAACCAUGCACCGAAGCUGCGGCAGCGACGCUGAUGCGUUGUUGGGUAGGGGAGCGUUCUGUAAGCCUGCGAAGGUGGCCUGUGAGGGUUGCUGGAGGUAUCAGAAGUGCGAAUGCUGACAUAAGUAACGAUAAAGCGGGUGAAAAGCCCGCUCGCCGGAAGACCAAGGGUUCCUGUCCAACGUUAAUCGGGGCAGGGUGAGUCGACCCCUAAGGCGAGGCCGAAAGGCGUAGUCGAUGGGAAACGGGUUAAUAUUCCCGUACUUGGUGUUACUGCGAAGGGGGGACGGAGAAGGCUAUGUUGGCCGGGCGACGGUUGUCCCGGUUUAAGCGUGUAGGUGUGUGUUCCAGGUAAAUCCGGUU
rnacentral:rRNA from 1 species